AUAAUGGGUCAGCGACUUAUAUUCUGUAGCAAGGUUAACCGAAUAGGGGAGCCGAAGGGAAACCGAGUCUUAACUGGGCGUUAAGUUGCAGGGUAUAGACCCGAAACCCGGUGAUCUAGCCAUGGGCAGGUUGAAGGUUGGGUAACACUAACUGGAGGACCGAACCGACUAAUGUUGAAAAAUUAGCGGAUGACUUGUGGCUGGGGGUGAAAGGCCAAUCAAACCGGGAGAUAGCUGGUUCUCCCCGAAAGCUAUUUAGGUAGCGCCUCGUGAAUUCAUCUCCGGGGGUAGAGCACUGUUUCGGCAAGGGGGUCAUCCCGACUUACCAACCCGAUGCAAACUGCGAAUACCGGAGAAUGUUAUCACGGGAGACACACGGCGGGUGCUAACGUCCGUCGUGAAGAGGGAAACAACCCAGACCGCCAGCUAAGGUCCCAAAGUCAUGGUUAAGUGGGAAACGAUGUGGGAAGGCCCAGACAGCCAGGAUGUUGGCUUAGAAGCAGCCAUCAUUUAAAGAAAGCGUAAUAGCUCACUGGUCGAGUCGGCCUGCGCGGAAGAUGUAACGGGGCUAAACCAUGCACCGAAGCUGCGGCAGCGACACUGUGUGUUGUUGGGUAGGGGAGCGUUCUGUAAGCCUGCGAAGGUGUGCUGUGAGGCAUGCUGGAGGUAUCAGAAGUGCGAAUGCUGACAUAAGUAACGAUAAAGCGGGUGAAAAGCCCGCUCGCCGGAAGACCAAGGGUUCCUGUCCAACGUUAAUCGGGGCAGGGUGAGUCGACCCCUAAGGCGAGGCCGAAAGGCGUAGUCGAUGGGAAACAGGUUAAUAUUCCUGUACUUGGUGUUACCGCGAAGGGGGGACGGAGAAGGCUAUGUUGGCCGGGCGACGGUUGUCCCGGUUUAAGCGUGUAGGCUGGUUUUCCAGGCAAAUCCGGAAAAUCAAGGCUGAGGCGUGAUGACGAGGCACUACGGUGCUGAAGCAACAAAUGCCCUGCUUCCAGGAAAAGCCUCUAAGCAUCAGGUAACAUCAAAUCGUACCCCAAACCGACACAGGUGGUCAGGUAGAGAAUACCAAGGCGCUUGAGAGAACUCGGGUGAAGGAACUAGGCAAAAUGGUGCCGUAACUUCGGGAGAAGGCACGCUGAUAUGUAGGUGAAGUCCCUCGCGGAUGGAGCUGAAAUCAGUCGAAGAUACCAGCUGGCUGCAACUGUUUAUUAAAAACACAGCACUGUGCAAACACGAAAGUGGACGUAUACGGUGUGACGCCUGCCCGGUGCCGGAAGGUUAAUUGAUGGGGUCAGCGCAAGCGAAGCUCUUGAUCGAAGCCCCGGUAAACGGCGGCCGUAACUAUAACGGUCCUAAGGUAGCGAAAUUCCUUGUCGGGUAAGUUCCGACCUGCACGAAUGGCGUAAUGAUGGCCAGGCUGUCUCCACCCGAGACUCAGUGAAAUUGAACUCGCUGUGAAGAUGCAGUGUACCCGCGGCAAGACGGAAAGACCCCGUGAACCUUUACUAUAGCUUGACACUGAACAUUGAGCCUUGAUGUGUAGGAUAGGUGGGAGGCUUUGAAGUGUGGACGCCAGUCUGCAUGGAGCCGACCUUGAAAUACCACCCUUUAAUGUUUGAUGUUCUAACGUUGACCCGUGAUCCGGGUUGCGGACAGUGUCUGGUGGGUAGUUUGACUGGGGCGGUCUCCUCCUAAAGAGUAACGGAGGAGCACGAAGGUUGGCUAAUCCUGGUCGGACAUCAGGAGGUUAGUGCAAUGGCAUAAGCCAGCUUGACUGCGAGCGUGACGGCGCGAGCAGGUGCGAAAGCAGGUCAUAGUGAUCCGGUGGUUCUGAAUGGAAGGGCCAUCGCUCAACGGAUAAAAGGUACUCCGGGGAUAACAGGCUGAUACCGCCCAAGAGUUCAUAUCGACGGCGGUGUUUGGCACCUCGAUGUCGGCUCAUCACAUCCUGGGGCUGAAGUAGGUCCCAAGGGUAUGGCUGUUCGCCAUUUAAAGUGGUACGCGAGCUGGGUUUAGAACGUCGUGAGACAGUUCGGUCCCUAUCUGCCGUGGGCGCUGGAGAACUGAGGGGGGCUGCUCCUAGUACGAGAGGACCGGAGUGGACGCAUCACUGGUGUUCGGGUUGUCAUGCCAAUGGCACUGCCCGGUAGCUAAAUGCGGAAGAGAUAAGUGCUGAAAGCAUCUAAGCACGAAACUUGCCCCGAGAUGAGUUCUCCCUGACUCCUUGAGAGUCCUGAAGGAACGUUGAAGACGACGACGUUGAUAGGCCGGGUGUGUAAGCGCAGCGAUGCGUUGAGCUAACCGGUACUAAUGAACCGUGAGGCUUAACCUUACAACGCCGAAG
rnacentral:rRNA from 1 species